rnacentral:lncRNA from 1 species
CUUGUCUAGUGAUCCAGGCUGCUUCAUGUGUGAAAUAUUACAAGAAAGAUUUAUUUAAUUUUUUGACAAGAAAGAUUUGAAUAUUCAUUAUAAGUUAAUACAGAAACAUCAUAGGAAGAGAUAAAAUAGAGCUACAGAACUGGAAAAAAAAAGUAUACAGCAGUUGAGAAGUGGAAAAACCAGUUUGUUUGAAUUGUUUUCUCAAGCAAAUCUUGGGGUUGUUUUCUUUCUUUUUGGUUUUUGCACACUAUAUCCCUCUAGUGGAGAACUUUCCUGAUCGAGGUGCUGUUUAAGAAGCAAUUGUGCUUUCAUAAAAAUCAGUUCUAAUGUAGUAUCUCUCAAAAGACUCUGAAUAACAGUGUAAUGCAUUAGUUUACUAUCAAAAGAGAUGGCAGAGCUGGAAACCAGCAGGGUUUCUUACCACAUUUGGAGUAGCUGUGUUUCCCUCCUUCUAGCAUGUGUGGUGGUUGUGAUAUAAGCCGACUCUACUCUUGUGGUGAUCCAUGGUCAAGGCUGCAGUGGAGCUGACUUAUAACGAUGAAGCAAACAUGGACAGAGGUCAUUUGGUAUGGGAAGAAUUUCAGUCAUGUGGUAGAAGGGAAACCUGGAUGUAAGCAGCAAACUGUGGAUGUGCUAAGUAUAAGCACGAGCCAAUGCAUUGCUGUCUUCCGUGAAGGAAUUUUGUUUUUGAUCCUCCACUACUACCCCACAACAACCCUGAGGAUAUCUCCAACCUUGGAAAUGAAUGUCAUCUUUCCUUCCUCCUCCUCAUUCUUUUUUAAAGGGACAUUUUUGUUUCUUUGA